rnacentral:rRNA from 1 species
AAAGCUCACAUUUGUAAUCUCGGCGCCUUCGGCGUCCGAGUUGUAAUCUCGAGAAGUGUUUUCCGUGAUAGACCGCAUACAAGUCUCUUGGAACAGAGCGUCAUAGUGGUGAGAACCCAGUACACGAUGCGGAUGCCUAUUACUUUGUGAUACACUUUCGAAGAGUCGAGUUGUUUGGGAAUGCAGCUCAAAUUGGGUGGUAAAUUCCAUCUAAAGCUAAAUAUUGGCGAGAGACCGAUAGCGAACAAGUACCGUGAGGGAAAGAUGAAAAGCACUUUGGAAAGAGAGUUAACAGUACGUGAAAUUGUUGGAAGGGAAACACAUGCAGUGAUACUUGCUAUUCGGGGCAACUCGAUUGGCAGGCCCGCAUCAGUUUUUCGGGGCGGAAAAUCAUAGAGAGAAGGUAGCAGUCUCGGCUGUGUUAUAGCUCUUUAUUGGAUUCGCCCUGGGGGACUGAGGAACGCAGCGUGCUUUUUGCAUGAGCUUCGGCUUAUCCACGCUUAGGAUGCGGGUUUAUGGCUGUAUAUGACCCGUCU